rnacentral:lncRNA from 10 species
AAAGCAAGAUGAAGAAGAGUGGUAAGAUGCUACCAUUUUGUCUUUUUUUAAGAUGAAAUAUGUAAAUGUUUGUAGUGCAAAUUUACCUUUGAAAAGAUACAGCAGAAGUUGAAACAAUAGGAGGCUCUGGAGAAGGGCAGUGUGUGAAUGAGGGAUGGGGUGAAAGAAGGAUAUUUUCAUGGUAUUUCCUUUUGUACCUCGUGAAUUUUAUAUCAAGUUCAUGUACUAGCUAUUCAAAAAAAUUUUAAGAGGGGAUCCUCUAAUUUGUUAAUGUUGCUGAAUUUUUAUCAUGUGUUUUUCUCAAAGUCUACUUAAAGUAGAACUACUAUUAUAUAGGAUUCUAUAAACAGAAAGAAUAUUCUAUAUAAUGGGAACUACUAUUAUAUGGGGUAAAACUCUUUUUACCUUAAAAUGGGAUUCUUAUGCUAAAAAGCAUAGGGAAUUAUUUUGCUAUAAUUAUAUCCUGUUCAGAUAAACUUAGAAUGCCGAGGUAAAUUUUGAGACUCCAGCAGAUUACCAGAAUUCCUGCAGCCAUAGAAAGUGGAGAGUUAGGCAGAGUUUUCUAAAGGGAAGAAAGGGCCAGGUGCAGUGGCUCAUGCCUGUAAUCCCAACUCUUAGGGAGACAGAGGUGGGAGGGUAGCUUGACCCCAGGAGUUCAAGACCUGCCUGGACAAUAUAGCGAGACCCCAUUCUCCACAAAAAGGAAAAAAAAAAAAAGAUAAAGGGGAGGAAGGUGCCUGUCCAGAUUUCCUCAAGGUGUGAUGUAUGUGAGGAUAAGCUUCCGAAAUUGGCCUCAGCCAUUUAGGGUAUUUGGUUUCCUAGAAGGACAGCCCAAUUUUAUACUGGCUUUUUCCUGAAGUUCACAGUGAAUUAGUAUGUAUGACUUAGAAAAUAAGACCUAGUAUUCCAAACCUGCUAACUCUGCACUGUAAUUCAAUAACUGACA